rnacentral:rRNA from 1 species
GGCUUUCGGGUCGUAAAGCACUGUUGUAUGGGAAGAACAGCUAGAAUAGGAAAUGAUUUUAGUUUGACGGUACCAUACCAGAAAGGGACGGCUAAAUACGUGCCAGCAGCCGCGGUAAUACGUAUGUCCCGAGCGUUAUCCGGAUUUAUUGGGCGUAAAGCGAGCGCAGACGGUUUAUUAAGUCUGAUGUGAAAGCCCGGAGCUCAACUCCGGAAUGGCAUUGGAAACUGGUUAACUUGAGUGCAGUAGAGGUAAGUGGAACUCCAUGUGUAGCGGUGGAAUGCGUAGAUAUAUGGAAGAACACCAGUGGCGAAGGCGGCUUACUGGACUGCAACUGACGUUGAGGCUCGAAAGUGUGGGUAGCAAACAGGAUUAGAUACCCUGGUAGUCCACACCGUAAACGAUGAACACUAGGUGUUAGGAGGUUUCCGCCUCUUAGUGCCGAAGCUAACGCAUUAAGUGUUCCGCCUGGGGAGUACGACCGCAAGGUUGAAACUCAAAGGAAUUGACGGGGACCCGCACAAGCGGUGGAGCAUGUGGUUUAAUUCGA